rnacentral:rRNA from 1 species
CCUACGGGCGGCAGCAGUGAGGAAUAUUGGUCAAUGGGCGGAAGCCUGAACCAGCCAAGUAGCGUGCGGGAUGAAGGCCCUACGGGUCGUAAACCGCUUUUGCACGGGGAUAACACCCUCCACUUGUGGAGGUCUGCAGGUACCGUGCGAAUAAGGGCCGGCUAAUUCCGUGCCAGCAGCCGCGGUAAUACGGAAGGCCCGAGCGUUAUCCGGAUUCAUUGGGCUUAAAGGGAGCGUAGGCGGGCGUUCAAGUCAGCGGUAAAAUCGCGCGGCUCAACCGCGCCCCGCAGUUGAAACUGGAGGCCUUGAGUUCAAAAGAGGCAGGCGGAAGUCGUGGUGUAGCGGUGAAAUGCAUAGAUAUCACGAGGAACCCCGAUUGCGAAGGAAGCCUGCCGGGGUGCGACUGACGCUGAGGCUCGAAGGUGCGGGUAUCAAACAGGAUUAGAUACCCUUGUAGUC